CACACGCGGGCCAUUGGGGCCGGCGGCAGUGCGCGCGGCACGUUGCAGCGCAGCAAGUAGCACAACCGCUGAGCAGUGCUGCUGGAGGACGAAGGGAGCUUGGGCGUGGCUGGCCGGCAUGGACCACCAAUUUCUGUGCCUCCAACAGCGGGUUCGAAAAUAUUGCGCUCUAGAAGGUCGUCAUUCCUAUCCAUUACCGCUGUCCAUUGAACGGGAAUUCAAUUGUUUGCUGCUGAGAAAUGCUUGUGGUAGUAAGGAAAUGGUACUGUCUAAUAGCACCCAAGUUUCUAUAUUUUUCUUAUAGGACAAUGUUUAUGAUUCUACUUGAAGAGUAUAAAUUCAUGUGAUGUAUUGAAAAUGAUAUUUAAAACUGAAGUUGGAAAUGUGUAAAUAGUCGAGGUGCAUAACUUCUGGCACAUAGACCAUCUGGUUCCACCAUUCCCAGCAGCAAUAUAUAUCUGAAUAGCAACAACAUGGCCGUUUGGUACAGUUCAUAUAUUUUUUUCCUGGUGUCUCUACUGAAUAGACCCUCCAAACAAUAAAGGCAUAGUGGCAUCUAACCGCUUACCUUUUCAUGGACAUAGAUAUUGGACAUGAUGAAGUCAUUAACACCUUAACUUUCAUUGUAUAUCAUCCAACUGCUUGCAGGUGAUAUCUGCACGCCCUGUUGCUCCAUGUCUAUUCUCACUUGCCCUGCCUCCUCAUGCAACCUAGGUCUGAAUACAUAUUUGCAAUGAAACAAAGUUCCAUGCAUUCUGAAGUUUAAUUUCAAACAAUGCUGCACCGCAACUUCUGCCAACCCCAGGAAUGUAAUGCCAUUCUCCAGCUCCAUACGUCUCUGAGAUUGUGACACUUAGGAGUCAAACAUGUAUACCACUUAGGAAUGUUACGGUGUUGUAAUGAUCAUUGUAUUGAUCCAUAGAGUUACAUGCACGUCCUCUGAAAGGCGACGUGCAGUCCAUGGUAGCAUCCUUCUCUCUUUC